AAACCAGAGUAUUUCAUUAGCUAAUUAGCAGCAUCAAUAAUACAGGGCAAUCUUCAACAAAUAUUUGCUAUUUAAAAGAGGUUUUAUGAAGAGGGAAAAAUUUCAUAGAUUUCAGUUCAAUAUCAUUUCCUCCCAAGUUCACCUGCACAGUUAAGCUGAAAUGGAUUAAGCUGAUCCUCUUUUACCAUUAUUUGCUUUUUCCAUUUUCUUGCUAGACGCAUCACAUGAAUGAAAAAUUGUCAUUCUGGAUGAACUUUCAUUAUAUCAGAAAGCCUGAUUAGAAAGUAAAGAACAGCUGGGCUACAUAUUUUAUGAGCUUCCUUUGAAAGAAAGGUCUUUGAGCAUACUUCUGUCAGUUGGUAUUUCUCUGGCUCCUUCAAGUUUUCUUUACUUUCAGCCAACCAGCAUGUCUUACUAAUAUGGCAUAGUAAACUUACCAGAAAAAGAAUGCAUUGAAAAAUAAGGUCCAAUUAAGGUGCAAUUUAAUAGAGAGUCUUUUUUUUUUUUUUUCCUGUAAAAGAGAUGUCUGUUUUUCUGCCUAAAUCCAGGUUUUAAUCUUGUACUGCUAGUUGGGAGUGUGUAUCCCUGAAAUACUGGAUCUUUCUGGAGCUCCAGAGUUUCAGAUCUGCUGGUAGCUGUGUUUCUGUCAAACAACCAUCAACUAUUUAAGCUCAGAAAAAUAAAGGCUCUGCUGACAUCACAGAAGUGAUCUUGGAAUAUUUUUUUGAGCCUGCACAACUUUACUGAUUAAUUAUGGGUAAUACUGAGCACACUCAAGGAAAUAGGAGUUUAGAUGACUUCCCAUGGAAGAAAGCUCUUCACUACUUUUUACAGUGGCAGAUCAUUCGGUCCCAUCUAUCUUGGUUCCUGCGAAAGACAAAGAAGAUGUUCUUCUUGAGCUGAAAGAACUGUCAAGCCUGGGGAGUGUAUUUUACAGCCUCGUACACAACAGGACUCACAAGCAUUAGCCCAUCAAACUCAUAAUUGUGUGAAAAAGAGCAGGAAGAGAAAAGAGGAGAAAACAGGAAAGGAAAUAAAAAGGAGGAGUAAGGAAGGAUGUAAGUCA
rnacentral:lncRNA from 1 species